AAAUAAAUAAUAAUAAUGAUAAAUCAUGAUGAUGUUUGAAACAUCAUCAUGAUUCAUGUUUUGUAAAAGAAGAGAGCAACAAAUACAAAUGGCAAGGUGGAAUCGAGAAAGCCAGAGCGUUAUUCAUCAGCCGCAUCAUUAUCUCCUGAUGCACGCCUGCGCAUUGUUUCUGAGCGCAUGGACAUUGUUGAUAACCUCAUCAUUUCCAUUUCGAUAGGUCCCCGAAUUCAAAGAUUAUAAAAUCACAAGACAAGAGUACAUGGACUGAAAAAGACGUUGCUGAUUCUCUCAUGGCAGAAACGGAAUGUACAGCAGAAAAAGAAAAUAAAAUAGUGGAGCACUGAGGCAGUGCGGAAAGAGGUCAGAGGCACUGGCAGACUGGAGGAAUAAGAAAUAAGAAAAGCAAAUGGGACGGUAGUGGGGAGUAGGUCAGAAAUAAAAGAAGAAUAAAAUAGGGAAAAUGAGGGGGAAUAAGAGGCCUCGGGGAAGAACAGAGACAGGGGGCGCGGGAGAGAGCUGCCCUUGGCAGCGUGAGUGAAAGGAGAAGGCUGCCUUUGGGCAGCGUGAGAAGGACAGGAACAGAAGCAGCUGAGCUGCGUGGAGAGAGAAACCGAGGGAGUCCACACAGACAGCCACACGGACAGAAGAGCGCAGGAGAGCUGAGGGAGGACAGACAGCUGCCCUUGGCAGCGUGAGUGCACAGGAAAAAAGGCAGCAUAGGCGAGAGGUCAGCAAGAGGAAAGCUGCCAUUUGGCAGCAUGAGAAUGGGGAGGAUGGAUAGAGUGAAGACUUGCGAGGAGCUGCGGGAAAGAAGGAGGUCAGAGUCAGUACGGGACAGCAAGAAUAAGGAGGGCACGAACGCAGCAGAUCAUCCUCUUUCGGUUUAAUCUUUCCAAAUUUCUAUUUUAUUUUUGUUUUAAUAAUGUGUAAUUAAAUUUAUUUUGGCUAGAGGUUAAUUCAAAGCCAUGAAUAUAUUUGUAAUAUGAAUUGAUUACCUUCAGUUGUGAUUUAAU